GCAAACUUGGUCAUUUAGAGGAAGUAAAAGUCGUAACAAGGUUUCCGUAGGUGAACCUGCGGAAGGAUCAUUAACAAAUCUGGACUGGUGGUCUAGUGCCGUGUGGUGGUUGAUCCUGCCACUGGUGCUAGAUCAUCACAUUGACUCGGGCUUGGCAGCAAUGUGCCAGGCCAUGAGACAUUCACGCUUGUAGAGUUUGACUGAGUGUAAUGAUAUUGAUGUAACCAUAAACAACUUUUAACAAUGGAUCUCUUGGCUCUUGCAUCAAUGAAGAACGCAGC
rnacentral:misc_RNA from 1 species